rnacentral:rRNA from 1 species
UACGUAGGGUGCAAGCGUUAAUCGGAAUUACUGGGCGUAAAGCGUGCGCAGGCGGUUUUGUAAGUCUGACGUGAAAUCCCCGGGCUCAACCUGGGAAUUGCGUUGGAGACUGCAAGGCUGGAGUCUGGCAGAGGGGGGUAGAAUUCCACGUGUAGCAGUGAAAUGCGUAGAGAUCGGGAGGAACACCAGUGGCGAAGGCGGCCUUCUGGACCAGUACUGACGCUCAUGCACGAAAGCGUGGGGAGCAAACAGG